rnacentral:rRNA from 1 species
CGGUAAUUCCAGCUCCAAUAGCGUAUACUAAAGUUGUUGCAGUUAAAAAGCUCGUAGUUGGAUUUCUGCGGGGACGGAGCGGCCGGACGCAACUUGCGUCUCGAGCUAGCGCUUUCCCCGCAUCCUGCCGCGAACCGUGCUACCAUUAGUUUGGUGGCGCUGGGGAUCGGCUCGAUUACUUUGAGAAAAAUAGAGUGUUCAAAGCAGGCCACACGCCUUGAAUAAGUUAGCAUGGAAUAAUGACUAAGGACUUCGGUUCUAUUUUGGUGGUGUUCGGGACUGAAGUAAUGAUUGAUAGGGACAGUUGGGGCGGUCUGUAUUCCAAAGCGAGAGGUGAAAUUCUUAGACCUUCGGAAGACAAACAGCUGCGAAAGCGUUCCGCAAGGAUGUUCCCUUUGAUCAAGAACGAAAGUUGGGGGAUCGAAGACGAUCAGAUACCGUCGUAGUCUCAACUAUAAACUAUACCAGCUAGGGAUCGGUCAACGUUUAAUUAUUCGACUUGAUCGGCACCUUAUGAGAAAUCAAAGCAUCUGGGUUCCGGGGGGAGUAUGGUCGCAAGGCUGAAACUUAAAGGAAUUGACGGAAGGGCACCACCAGCCGUGGAGCCUGUGGCUUAAUUUGACUCAACACGGGAAAACUUACCAGGUCCAGACAUAGUAAGGAUUGACAGAUUGAUAGCUCUUUCUUGAUUCUGUGGGUGGUGGUGCAUGGCCGUUCUUAGUUGGUGGAGUGAUUUGUCUGGUUAAUUCCGUUAACGAACGAGACCCCAGCCUGCUAAAUAGCGCGGCUGAGCUUUGCUCGGUGCGAGCUUCUUAGAGGGACUAUGAUGCGCGAUAGCACAUGGAAGUUUGGGGCAAUAACAGGUCUGUGAUGCCCUUAGAUGUUCUGGGCCGCACACGGGCUACACUGGCGCCUGCAACGAGCAUAUCAGCUGGCCCGAGAGGGUCUUGGCUAAUCUUUUGAACCGGCGCCGUGCUUGGGAUUGACCUUUGCAAUUGUUGGUCAUGCAACGAGGAAUGCCUUGUAAACGCGAGUCAUCAGCUCGCAUUGAAUACGUCCCUGCCCCUUGUACACACCGCCCGUCGCUCCUACCGAUGAAUGUUCCGAUGAAAUUUUCGGAGAGCGCCAGAGAACGGGGCUCUGCCUUGCAGAUCUGGAGGCUCAAAGUCACUUAAAUCUGAACAUUUCGAGGAAGGAGAAGUCGUAACAAGGUAACC